AGCUAAUACCGGAUAAUAUUUUGAACCGCAUGGUUCAAAAGUGAAAGACGGUCUUGCUGUCACUUAUAGAUGGAUCCGCGCUGCAUUAGCUAGUUGGUAAGGUAACGGCUUACCAAGGCAACGAUGCAUAGCCGACCUGAGAGGGUGAUCGGCCACACUGGAACUGAGACACGGUCCAGACUCCUACGGGAGGCAGCAGUAGGGAAUCUUCCGCAAUGGGCGAAAGCCUGACGGAGCAACGCCGCGUGAGUGAUGAAGGUCUUCGGAUCGUAAAACUCUGUUAUUAGGGAAGAACAUAUGUGUAAGUAACUGUGCACAUCUUGACGGUACCUAAUCAGAAAGCCACGGCUAACUACGUGCCAGCAGCCGCGGUAAUACGUAGGUGGCAAGCGUUAUCCGGAAUUAUUGGGCGUAAAGCGCGCGUAGGCGGUUUUUUAAGUCUGAUGUGAAAGCCCACGGCUCAACCGUGGAGGGUCAUUGGAAACUGGAAAACUUGAGUGCAGAAGAGGAAAGUGGAAUUCCAUGUGUAGCGGUGAAAUGCGCAGAGAUAUGGAGGAACACCAGUGGCGAAGGCGACUUUCUGGUCUGUAACUGACGCUGAUGUGCGAAAGCGUGGGGAUCAAACAGGAUUAGAUACCCUGGUAGUCCACGCCGUAAACGAUGAGUGCUAAGUGUUAGGGGGUUUCCCGCCCCUUAGUGCUGCAGCUAACGCAUUAAGCACUCCGCCUGGGGAGUACGACCGCAAGGUUGAAACUCAAAGGAAUUGACGGGGACCCGCACAAGCGGUGGAGCAUGUGGUUUAAUUCGAAGCAACGCGAAGAACCUUACCAAAUCUUGACAUCCUUUGACAACUCUAGAGAUAGAGCCUUCCCCUUCGGGGGACAAAGUGACAGGUGGUGCAUGGUUGUCGUCAGCUCGUGUCGUGAGAUGUUGGGUUAAGUCCCGCAACGAGCGCAACCCUUAAGCUUAGUUGCCAUCAUUAAGUUGGGCACUCUAAGUUGACUGCCGGUGACAAACCGGAGGAAGGUGGGGAUGACGUCAAAUCAUCAUGCCCCUUAUGAUUUGGGCUACACACGUGCUACAAUGGACAAUACAAAGGGCAGCGAAACCGCGAGGUCAAGCAAAUCCCAUAAAGUUGUUCUCAGUUCGGAUUGUAGUCUGCAACUCGACUACAUGAAGCUGGAAUCGCUAGUAAUCGUAGAUCAGCAUGCUACGGUGAAUACGUUCCCGGGUCUUGUACACACCGCCCGUCACACCACGAGAGUUUGUAACACCCGAAGCCGGUGGAGUAACCUUUUAGGAGCUAGCCGUCGAAGGUGGGACAAAUGAUUGGGGUGAAGUCGUAACAAGGUAGCCGUAUCGGAAGGUGCGGCUGGAUCACCUCCUUUCU
rnacentral:rRNA from 1 species